rnacentral:rRNA from 1 species
GGGCCCGCACAAGCGGUGGAGCAUGUGGUUUAAUUCGAUGAUACGCGAGGAACCUUACCAGGGCUUAAAUGUAGUGGGACAGGUCUAGAGAUAGACCCUUCUUCGGACUCAUUACAAGGUGCUGCAUGGUUGUCGUCAGCUCGUGCCGUGAGGUGUCAGGUUAAGUCCUAUAACGAGCGCAACCCCUAUCGUUAGUUGCCAGCGGGUAAUGCCGGGAACUCUAGCGAAACUGCCGGUGCAAACCGUGAGGAAGGUGGGGGAUGACGUCAAAUCAUCACGGCCCUUACGUCCUGGGCUACACACGUGCUACAAUGGUCGGUACAGAGAGCAGCCACUACGCGAGUAG